AUUUGAAGAUCAAGUAAUCAACUAAGGAAAGAAAAUGGAGAAAGUGAAAGUGGGGGUGAUAAUAGCAAUGAAAGGCCAUCCAGGAACUGGAAAAAGCACAUUAGCAAAAUCAAUAGCAUCAUCUCUCAAAAUCCCUCUAAUCGACAAGGACGACAUCAAAGACUGUAUUACCACCCCCCUUAUUCAAACCACACCCCCUUCACUUCUCAACGAACUAUCAUACUCCGCCAUCUUUCAAAUCGCUUCAACUCAACUCCGCGUUGGUCUCAGCCUCAUCAUCGACUCUCCUCUCUCUCGUAGGUCCCACCUCGACCGUCUUCGAAGCCUCGCCGGUGAGUAUGGCGCAAGGGUUGUGAUUAUUGAGUGUAGGCCGGGAGAUAAGGGUUUGUGGAGGAGGAGGGUGGAGGAAAGAGGUGGUGGAGGGGGACAUAAGCCGGCGACGUGGGAGGAGCUGGAGAAGAUUGUGGAAGGGUAUGGGGGGUGCGAUGAGUAUGAUGUGGGGGGUGUGCCGAAGUUGGUGAUGGAUACGACGGAGGAUGUGGAUUUGGAGAAGCUGUGUUCUCAUGCUUUGGAGUUUAUCGAAGAUCAUGCUGUUAAGUCCUUGUGAUUUAGCCACGUGUCUUUCGUCGUUGAUGAUAAUAUUUGUUAGGAAUAUUGAGUAAGUAGUAUUUUUAAUACGGCUGAAAAGUUAUUAUACAAAUAAACAUGUACUAUAUUCUUGCCUCAAAAGAAAGAAGAAGAAAAAAAUGUAUACUUUGUACCCUUAAAAAAAAGAAUGCAUAUUUUGUAAUGUUUGCUUCAUUUUCUUGAAAAUAAUACUCCCUCCAUUUCAAAAUAAAUGUCGUUUUAGUUAAAAAAAAUUGUUUUAAAAUGAAUGUCACUUUCAGUUUCCAAUGCAAUUAAUAACUUUUUCUUUUCAAUUGUAUCCUUUAAUUAAUAUUAUGUUACACUACUUCCAAAAUAUUAUUUUUUUUCUUUAUUGAAAAACAAACUAAUAGUUGAUUAGAAUAAUUUGGUAAAAUUGUUACGACAUUUUACUACUUUAUUUCAUUCUUUAAUAUGUACGUAAUUGACUAAAGCGACACUCAUUUUAAAACGGAUGGAGUAUUAUUUUUUAAAAGGUGAAAGUGUUAACUCAUUCAAGAUUAGAAGUUCAACUCUUGCUAUAAUUUUAUUUGAUUGUAGUUUCUAUGUUGGAUAUAAAAAUUAUGUAGAUAAUUUAUC
rnacentral:lncRNA from 1 species